rnacentral:pre_miRNA from 1 species
UCUUACGGGUGAGCAAAGAAAGUGGUUCUUGAGAUAGAAUCUACUUCUGAUGAAGAUGCUAUGAA